UAUUAGUUGGGUUUCCUGGUGUCUCUUUAGCAAGUGAAGUUUCUGGUUCCCUCCUUCACUGUGUGACCUGCCUAGUCCUCCUGGGUCGCAUUUACAGAAGUUUAUACGAGACCUAGUUUCCAGGGAAGAACUCACUGAUUCCGCGAGGGAGAUGGCGUAAUAGAUGAUGGUCGUCAGCCUUAAGGGUACUUCAGUCUUAACUGUGUGUUAGAAAGUUUGAAAGGGAGGGUUCCCUAUGAAUAAGAAGCACACUUGAAAGAACAGCCGUCUGGUCUAACCUCUCACUGGUGCUUCAGAGGAGGAAAAAAGGUCACAGCUAUGUUUCCAGUGUCCUCUGGGUGUUUCCAAGAGCAACAAGAAACGAAUAAAUCUCUGCCAUAGGAGUUUUAGCCAAUUCAGAGGCCUUGCUCCCUACAAUUUGGAACAUUCCUUUGGAUUUGACCAAGUCAGGAAGAG
rnacentral:lncRNA from 1 species